CUCACAUUCACAUCUGGAGGAGCCUUCUUUAUCGGAAAAACUGUGAGUGGGACAACGAGAGCACUGGAGAUCUUGAGAGGAAGAUUUGUAGAACCCACGGCCACAGGCUGGGGAUGCAAAAGAAAGUGAAAAUAGAAACUGGUGAAUACAGACUCUAAAGUCACCUUUCCUGCCAGAGCUGUAGCACUUCAUCAACGUGAAGAGAGAAAACUACUCAGCGCAGGUAGACAUGCAGGAAAUGUGGGUAGAGACUUAUUAUUGACCAAUUAUAUUUAAACUGGAGAGUUA